AAGAUCAAUCUCAAGCUGAACCCUGAGAAGUGCAUCUUCGGCGUCCCGUCUGGCAAGCUUCUCGGGUUCUUUGUGUCACAGCGUGGGAUAGAGGCCAAUCCGGACAAGAUCAAAGCUAUAGAACGGAUUGAAGCGCCCAAGCGAGUCAAGGAUGUGUGUCGGCUUGCUGGUUGCGUUGCCGCCAUGAGUAGGUUCAUUUCCAACUCCGCCGAGCACGCCCUUCCCUUUUUCAAGAUUUUGAAAAAGGCGGGCCCGAUGGAGUGGACACCAGAAGCCGAAGCAGCAUUGCAAGAUUUGAAGAGGUACCUCUCC
rnacentral:rRNA from 1 species